rnacentral:lncRNA from 1 species
AACAUCAGUCUCCGAACAGUUCAUUAGAUAUUCAAAUUUAUUAUAAUUAUCUAAAUUACAAUAACAUGGUAUAAUAUUAACAAUGUCAUCAUGAAACUUUUCCCUCUCGUCUUGAUAGAGGUUGCAUUCAGUAUGCAGUUUAAUAAAGUGGACAAAUGCAGGUGGCAUUUUAGGUGACUAAUAUUACUUCAUAAUUUAUAUAAUCCAAUUAUAUUCUUGAGUUUCUUACUAAAUUGAAUGAAAAUUACACAAAAUUUGGUGCAUGCAAUUAGAAUAGAAUAUUGAUUUUCGAGUUUUCGUUAAUGCAAUAUACACCAACUUGAGUUGUAAAAGUACAAAAAGAAAAACAACAACUUUAUAUUAUCAGUAUGGAUGUUGUUUCAUGCCUUGCAAUUAAGCGUAGGUCGUUUCAAUUAACUUGAAUGUUUUGCCUUUUGUUUACAGAUUUUCUCGUUCCAGCAUUUUAUUUUCAUUAUAUUAGUUUUUGGGAAGACUUGCGAAAUAUACCAAACAUGCCAAAGGGUCAUUCAAACUUAUUAGUCGAAUAUAAACUGACAACGCAUUAUAUGGAAUAGUAAUAACGAUUUUACAAUUGACCCUGUGCAAUCUAACACUUUUUCAAACGAGACCUUCAAUUAGUCCAUUGUAGUAACGGGAAAGAUAAAUUUUAUUAAAG